ACUCAAAGGAAUUGACGGGGGCCCGCACAAGCGGUGGAGCAUGUGGUUCAAUUCGAAGCAACGCGAAGAACCUUACCAGCUCUUGACAUGUCCGGUUUGGGUUUCAGAGAUGAGACUCUUCAGUUCGGCUGGCCGGAACACAGGUGCUGCAUGGCUGUCGUCAGCUCGUGUCGUGAGAUGUUGGGUUAAGUCCCGCAACGAGCGCAACCCUCGCCCUUAGUUGCCAUCAUUUAGUUGGGCACUCUAAGGGGACUGCCGGUGAUAAGCCGGAGGAAGGUGGGGAUGACGUCAAGUCCUCAGGGCCCUUACGGGCUGGGCUACACACGUGCUACAAUGGCGGUGACAGAGGGAUGCGAAGGAGCGAUCCUUGGCAAAUCUCAAAAAACCGUCUCAGUUCGGAUUGGGGUCUGCAACUCGACCCCAUGAAGUUGGAAUCGCUAGUAAUCGCGGAUCAGCACGCCGCGGUGAAUACGUUCCCGGGCCUUGCACACACCGCCCGU
rnacentral:rRNA from 1 species